GUACUCGAGCGGCGAACGGGUGAGUAACACGUGAGCAACCUGCCCCUGACUCUGGAAUAAGCCUGGGAAACUGGGUCUAAUACCGGAUAUGACUCGUGACCGCAUGGUGUGCGGCUGGAUCGCCUCCUAGUUGGGGAUGGGCUCGCGGCCUAUCAGCUUGUUGGUGGGGUGAUGGCCUACCAAGGCGACGACGGGUAACCGGCCUGAGAGGGCGACCGGUCACACUGGGACUGAGACACGGCCCAGACUCCUACGGGAGGCAGCAGUGGGGAAUAUUGCGCAAUGGGCGGAAGCCUGACGCAGCGACGCCGCGUGGGGGAUGACGGCCUUCGGGUUGUAAACCUCUUUCAGCAGGGACGAAGCUAACGUGACGGUACCUGCAGAAGAAGCGCCGGCUAACUACGUGCCAGCAGCCGCGGUAAUACGUAGGGCGCAAGCGUUGUCCGGAAUUAUUGGGCGUAAAGAGCUCGUAGGCGGUUUGUCGCGUCUGUCGUGAAAGCCCACGGCUUAACUGUGGGUCUGCGGUGGAUACGGGCAGACUAGAGGCAGGUAGGGGAGAAUGGAAUUCCCGGUGUAGCGGUGAAAUGCGCAGAUAUCGGGAGGAACACCGGUGGCGAAGGCGGUUCUCUGGGCCUGUACUGACGCUGAGGAGCGAAAGCGUGGGGAGCGAACAGGAUUAGAUACCCUGGUAGUCCACGCCGUAAACGUUG
rnacentral:rRNA from 1 species